ensembl:lncRNA
GUAGGAGUUUCAUUACUGCUUUCCUACUCUUUGGGAGCUUGGGGCAGGUGACAGCAGCCACAUCUCCCAUGUGUGCCUACGAGAGAGAUGAGAAAGAGAGGAGUGGAAGAGUGGAAGCAGGGGGCUGAGAGUGCCCAGGUUCUGCCAAUGAGCAGCUGUCUGAGCACUAUAAAAGCUGACUGGUGGUGUGAUGGGGCUUGAUACCUUGGGAAGGUGCUUGUUGUUAUGGUCUGGGAUGCUGCCAGGUGGCUCUUGGUCAAGGAGGAAGAGCAGGAAGACUGGUUCCUGGCUUGGUACUUCAAGAUGCAGUGGGGGAGUGGUUUUCCCAUUGUUUCUUCUAACCGCUACUCUAUUUUUGUUCAAAACGCUCCUUUGCCUUGAGGAAGCUGUGUCACCAGAUGUCCCUGAUGCUGCUCCCUGAUGAACCAGAGCUGUGGGCAAUGGAGAUGAAUCCAGCCUGGCAUAGCAGCCUGUUUGAUGCCCGUUGGGAAAUGACAAUGACUGGAUUCAGCACCCAGCAGGUACUGGGGCUCCCUGUGCUCCCCAUCCCCAGCCAGUGUGAUGCUCUGUGCACCCCAUGUCACCGCUCUGCCUUCACUGCAGGUGCAGCUCUGACUCAUUUGCACUCACUGAGCACCUGUGGGUGUGCACCCAAGGAUUGCUGCUGCAUGGUGUGAAGCCUGAGGGCUGCUUCCCUUGCAGAGGUGCUUCUUGCUCUCCUGCCUCACUCUCUGCUAGGAGUGGAAGUGGGAAGGAUUUAAGGUAUCUCAAAGAGGAACAGGAUGACCUGAGCUCCAAGCAGAGAUUGUAUGAGAUUUAUUUCUAAAGGAUAACUUGAAACAUUUAGUAAUACUUUGUUUUAUCUUCCACCUCGACACAAAUUGUCAUUGUGCAGUAAUGGGGAGAAGCAAUAAAGGCUCUCUGCAUUUCCUGCUCUGCACAAUGACCUGCAGCACCUUUCCUUGUGAAGAUUUCUAAUGCAAAGCUUUGUGGAGGACAGAGCCUGGCUUGGGUGUGAAGUGCAAACCCAGACAAUGUGAGAUGCAGAGCUGAGGCAGCAGAAGGGGUGCAAGGUGCUGGGGUCCCAUGGUGCCCAUCCGUUGUGUGCGGGUGACAGCAUGGGCUGGGUGUGUGGAGGAAGGGGGUAUGGAUGUGGGUAGAGCAGCAGUGUUGGCAGCUGGAGAAGCUUCCCAGCAGGGCACAGGGUUUUGCAGUGCUCGCAGCUAUUUCCCAGUGCCCUUCUGUGCUCUCACCACCUGGCUCUGGCACACGGCAGCUGCGGUGCAGCCCCUUUACAGCUGUUUGCAUAAGACCUGCUCAUCACUCUGUGAUCCUCUCCCUGCCCUUGCCACAGCAAAAUAGCUCUCUGGGUGGUGAUGUGUGCCCAUCUUCUCAGCUGUGUGGCUUUGAGCAGAGCUGCCAAUGCUUUUUAGGCAAGAAAAACUGCUUCGAGGAAGCCUGGCUCUGCUGCUGUGUGUGUGAUGGGCUCUGGUGACAGAGAGCUGUUCCCAGGGUGAGCAGCUGAUGUAAAGCGGUUGCGUACAGAGAUCAGAUGCAAGAUUGAGCAUAAAGAUCUAUGAAGAGGCAAAAAAACAAACAAACAAACAAAAAAACCCAAACACCUGAAAAAGCCCAUAGGAUGCCCAGUUCCUGUAGAUGGAGGAUGGUAAUAUCAGGCGUGGUGUGGGCAGUGGGUGAGAACAGGGUGUUGGGAUAAGGAGGAGCUCAAUGGACAUGUGGGUGUGGGCGGUGCCUGGCCAGGCAUGGACUGAACCCAUCCACCUCUUCAGCCUUAGUUAGAACAAGCAGUGUGCUUCUGCUCUGUAUAAGCAAUUAGCAUCACAUGGCCAUGGUGAUUUUCAUCUGGCACCUGCAUCCCAAAGCCAAUUUAGCAUGAAAAUGCUCAGUGUGUAAACACAAGGAGAAUAGCCUCUUAGCUCCUGGGCCCUCUGUCCUUGGUGUGACAUUCAGUAUUUACAAAGAUUGGGGCUUUUUGUUUUGUUUUCCGCUGCAACAGGGAACCACACAGAUUUCUCUGAAUUCAAAAGAUGAUGACUUUUUUGAUGCCCAAAAUGACCGCUUCUGCUUGACUAAUACUGGACAAAUAUUGACUCAUGGCUACUACAAGUUGGUUCCUUCACUGAUGAAUGCUCAAGGCUACUUGGAUAAACAAAUGAUUUCUCAUGAAUAUUCUUAUUUUAGCACAUCCCUAGAAUAAUAAUGCAUCCUGUGUAUAUUCUCAUUGUGCUUUUUCUUCUCUUGACAGUUUGAGGUGACAUUGUGAGAAACUUUAUUAGCGCAAAGAACAAGUGUCCCAUUGUCGAUGGUUGGAUAUUAGGAAAGGUUUUUUUCUUAGAAAGAAUGGUGAUGCAAUGGCACAGGCUGCCCAGGGAGGUGAUGGGGUCACCAUCCCUGCAGGUGUUCCAGAAACGUGGAGAUGAGGCACUGUGGGAUGGUGGGGAUGGUUUGGUGCUUGGACUGAAUGAUCUUAGUGGUCUCUUCCAAACUUAAUUCCUCUAUCAUUCUCCAGCACCAGGGUUCAGCUGCACAGUCCUUGGUCUCUGCUUGACCAUGAGCAGUGGCAAAACCAGUAAUUAUGUAUGAGAGGGGGAGAUGCAGUGAGGACCUGCUGAACUGAUGGGGUUGAUGUUCCAGGAGCUCCACAAUACGGAGAGGUGACGGG